rnacentral:misc_RNA from 1 species
GAUUUGAGCGCGCAUCCCGAAAAGUGUGAAACGGUUUUCGGGAUGCGCGUCAAAACAA